AAAAGCAUUUUGGAUCCUCGAGUACUAACUGGUCCUAGUGCAAAACUGCCACCAGCACUGAAGGCUUUGUUGAACCCUAAAUCUCCAAGGCCUGUGAUGACGCUACCCAUAUAUGUCAAAUCUGAUGUGUCUUUGACUUGUAGCCUCUCAAACAUGGUGGUGAGGGUUAAAAAAUCUUUCUUUAGGUUUGGCUGCUCUGAGGCUGACCUUGUUCUUGGUAGUAACUGCAAAAGCAAUGGCAAAGAUGAAGCCACUGGAGACUUGCUCUUUAAUUAUCCUCUGAAUGUUUGUGGUGGUAAAAGAUCAAUGCAUGAGGGCUGUCUGAUGUAUGAGAAUGUUCUCCAUUCCAAACCAGAAAAAGUGCUAGGAGUAAUCCGUAGGAAGCAGCCUGUCAAUAUUGCUCUGAAAUGCUGUUUUUUCAGGUACUACCAUGUAUACAAAGGUGCAGUGCACCCUACCUGGAGUGUCCCCUCUGGUGUCGCGGUCCC